rnacentral:lncRNA from 1 species
AGCUAUGGUGAAUCGGUGGACCGAAUUAUCGUUUUGUGACAACGGGAACGAAACGAUUUUUUACCCACAUUAUUACCGAACUACACUCACAUCCUGACCUUAUGUAUUUGGUUGGGGAAUGACAUGACUGAAUUAUAAAUGAUAUACAAAAGUUUAAAUUAAAAUCACGUAAAAGCGAAGAAAACAAAAACAGAAACCAAAAAAUUCUUGACCUUACUCGGUAUUCUUUACAGUUUCCGUUCCUUUUGUAAGUAUAAGAAUAAAAACAAUGCCUAUUUUCGCUUUGCGGUUGCCUGCUGAGCAGAAAACUAAGCGAACCUUAAUAUUCUUUAAACUUUCCACCAUAUUUACUUUUAUACAUUAGAACUGUGUUGUUCAAUUUCCUUAAUUUUUUCGACUGCAAAUUACAGUAAAGUAACAAUACGUACUAGAGGAUAUACAAAAUAUCUGUUUUAAAUGACAGAUAUUUACUAUGUCUUUAAUGAAAGAUAUAAUACCUACUUGUAGGUAGUAUUCUCUAUCAGUAAGCCCAUGCGCAAAUAUCGUACACUCAAAGGACUGAUGAUGAAUGCUGGACAGGUCGGUACAAUAACUUUUUGUAGCCAAGUCCAUCGCCAAACGUUUCUCCUUCAACUAACUAACUAACUAUAAGAACAAUCAUGCACGUAUAACCAAAUUAUUGUUCCCGUAUGCACAUACGUUAUUGUACAUUUGAGUAUGCAAACAUGAAGGCGACACAUCCGCUAACAUGCCAAAUGUAUAUCAUUCAUUGACUGCCACUCGCUUAGCUAAAAGUGCGAACGCAUAUGUAAUUCUAUGAGAAAUUUAGUCAUUUCCACAUGUAACAGUAAUUUUGCGAAUACUAAGGCUAACAUGACAAUCGUAAGCCAAGAAGACUUCCUAAUUUCACUUCAGACGGAUGAGCAAUUCACAACUAAAAGUUGCCUCAAAUCACUACUACCUGUAUCACGAUUAGAAUGAAAAUGUCGGAUUUUUGAGAUGUUAUCGCCAUGAUGCAAUCUUUUCGCAACUAAGUACUUUUUCUAUUAGCAAGAUAAACCGACUCCUUGAAGCAACUUCAUUCUCUAGUCCUUAUUCUGAUCUCCAAGUUAGGUAAAUGGAAAUUCAACUAUUUGUGCAGAAACCCCAUCUCCCAUUAUUACCCUUGCUGCUCUUCUUUCUAUCUGUACACUUUGGGAAGGGACUGUUGAGUCGGACAUUCAACACUUUUUACAGCCACCAAAAAUAGGUUGCCUAGACUAACAAUAGGAAGGAACUUGUCGUCAUGUUAAAAAUCGGCCUUGCUCAUAAUAAUUAUUUUAUUAUUUUAUUUUUUUUUUAUUAGUUUUGGACGCAGCGAUAAAAUGCCCGAUAAGGUUAGAAAGAAUAGGUUAUUGGCAAGAAAGUAGGGUUAACAAGUGAGUCGGUAGAAAGCAUGUUAAUCAAGCGAGUAUGCAAAGUCUUCGUCAAGGAUUCCACUCACAAUAGCAAAGGCA